GGAAAGAUGAAUCAAAGAAGGUAAUAAUCCUGUAGUCGAAAAUGUUGUCUCUCUUGAGUGGAUCCUGAGUACGACGGAGCACGUGAAAUUCCGUCGGAAUCUGGGAGGACCAUCUCCUAAGGCUAAAUACUCUCUAGUGACCGAUAGUGAACCAGUACCGUGAGGGAAAGGUGAAAAGCACCCCGGAAGGGGAGUGAAAUAGAACCUGAAACCGUGUGCUUACAAGUAGUCAGAGCCCGUUAAUGGGUGAUGGCGUGCCUUUUGUAGAAUGAACCGGCGAGUUACGAUUUGAUGCAAGGUUAAGCAGUAAAUGUGGAGCCGUAGCGAAAGCGAGUCUGAAUAGGGCGUUUAGUAUUUGGUCGUAGACCCGAAACCAGGUGAUCUACCCUUGGUCAGGUUGAAGUUCAGGUAACACUGAAUGGAGGACCGAACCGACUUACGUUGAAAAGUGAGCGGAUGAACUGAGGGUAGCGGAGAAAUUCCAAUCGAACCUGGAGAUAGCUGGUUCUCUCCGAAAUAGCUUUAGGGCUAGCCUCAAGUGAUGAUUAUUGGAGGUAGAGCACUGUUUGGACGAGGGGCCCCUCUCGGGUUACCGAAUUCAGACAAACUCCGAAUGCCAAUUAAUUUAACUUGGGAGUCAGAACAUGGGUGAUAAGGUCCGUGUUCGAAAGGGAAACAGCCCAGACCACCAGCUAAGGUCCCAAAAUAUAUGUUAAGUGGAAAAGGAUGUGGCGUUGCCCAGACAACUAGGAUGUUGGCUUAGAAGCAGCCAUCAUUUAAAGAGUGCGUAAUAGCUCACUAGUCGAGUGACACUGCGCCGAAAAUGUACCGGGGCUAAACAUAUUACCGAAGCUGUGGAUUGUCCUUUGGACAAUGGUAGGAGAGCGUUCUAAGGGCGUUGAAGCAUGAUCGUAAGGACAUGUGGAGCGCUUAGAAGUGAGAAUGCCGGUGUGAGUAGCGAAAGACGGGUGAGAAUCCCGUCCACCGAUUGACUAAGGUUUCCAGAGGAAGGCUCGUCC
rnacentral:rRNA from 1 species